rnacentral:rRNA from 1 species
AUGUUCGUGUUCGGUGACUCGACGGUGGACGUCGGCAACAACAACAAGCUGCCGGGCUGCAAGCUCGAGUGCAGGGCCAACUACCCGCAGUACGGCGUCGACUACCCCUCCUCCCGCGCGCCCACCGGCCGCUUCAGCAAUGGCAAAAACCUCGCUGACUUCAUAGCUACCUUCCUGGGAUUCGAGGAGAGCCCACCUGCUUACCAUUCCCUCCCGGCCAAGGGCAUCGUUCCACAGAUGAAAAGCGGCGUCAACUUCGCAUCAGGAGGGUCAGGCCUACAGGAGAACACGGGCCAACUCCCUGUACGCACACUGGCUUGCCUUGUCAUGACCGACCAGCUCGAGAAGUUCACGUCGGCCGUCCAGAUGAUGGGGGAGGACUCGGACGACCUCAUCUCCAGAUCGCUCUUCUUCAUCAGCGUCGGCAGCAACGACCUGUUCGAGUACGCCUUUCCCUGGCCGACGCCCUCCAACCGCAACGACACAGCCUUCCUGGGAUGCCUCGUCGACCAUUACAGGACCUACCUGCAGGUGCAUGCCGUCCAUAUAUGCUUGGUGUGGUGCUUCCAGUAA